CCUACGGGCGGCAGCAGUGAGGAAUAUUGGUCAAUGGACGCGAGUCUGAACCAGCCAAGUCGCGUGAGGGAAGACGGCCCUAUGGAUUGUAAACCUCUUUUGUCGGGGAAUAAAAUACUCCACGCGUGGCGUUUCGAGAGUACCAGAUGAAAAAGGAUCGGCUAACUCCGUGCCAGCAGCCGCGGUAAUACGGAGGAUGCGAGCGUUAUCCGGAUUUAUUGGGUUUAAAGGGUGCGCAGGCGGAUGGUAAAGUCAGCGGUAAAAUUGGGGGGCUCAACCUCUUAGUGCCGUUGAAACUGGUAGUCUUGAGUAAGGGAGAGGUGUGCGGAAUGCGUGGUGUAGCGGUGAAAUGCAUAGAUAUCACGAAGAACUCCGAUUGCGAAGGCAGCACACCGGAGCGCAACUGACGCUCAGGCACGAAAGUGUGGGUAUCGAACAGGAUUAGAUACCCGUGUAGUC
rnacentral:rRNA from 1 species